rnacentral:rRNA from 1 species
AUGUUUGACGGAGUUGAGCGGAUGCUUCGGGGAGUCAGGCAUGUGCCAGGGCUAAGGAGGAAUCUAAUUUCGCUUGGAGUUCUUCAUGAUGGUGGUAUGGUAUUCCGUUGUGAUCGGGAUAAGAAGACCAUGAGAAUCAUGGAAGAUGAGGUGACCGUGAUGAUUGGAGCGAGGACGGCUUCGCAUCUUUACAAGUUGCAAGGGAGCACUAUUGCAGGUGGAGUCACUGAGACUGGAGUUGCGGGAGUAGCAGCGGGGUCACACGGCGGCGGCGGGUCUGGGGCAGACUCGUCGAGUAGCUCUCAGUAA